GGUGCUGUGUCUUAGUUGGUUAUACCGCCUGUCUAGUAAACAGGACAUCGUGAGUUCGAAUAUCGCCUGUGCCU